rnacentral:rRNA from 1 species
UACGGGGGGGGCAAGCGUUGUUCGGAAUUACUGGGCGUAAAGGGCGCGUAGGCGGCCUUCUAAGUCAGACGUGAAAUCCCCAGGCUCAACCUGGGAACUGCGUCUGAUACUGGAUGGCUUGAAUUCGGGAGAGGGAUGCAGAAUUCCAGGUGUAGCGGUGAAAUGCGUAGAUAUCUGGAGGAAUACCGGUGGCGAAGGCGGCAUCCUGGACCGACAUUGACGCUGAGGAGCGAAAGCUAGGGGAGCAAACGGG